rnacentral:rRNA from 1 species
GAUUAACGCUGGCGGCAUGCCUAAUACAUGCAAGUCGAACGGAAGCAGCAAUGCUUUAGUGGCGAACGGGUGAGUAACACGUAGGGAACCUACCUAUACGACGAGGAUAACUACUGGAAACGGUAGCUAAAACUGGAUAGGAUCAAUUGAGGCAUCUUGAUUGAUUUAAAGAUCCUUCGGGAUUACGUAGAGAUGGCCCUGCGGCGCAUUAGCUAGUUGGUGAGGUAACGGCCCACCAAGGCGACGAUGCGUAGCUGAGCUGAGAGGCUAAACAGCCACACUGGGACUGAGACACGGCCCAGACUCCUACGGGAGGCAGCAGUAGGGAAUUUUCGGCAAUGGGGGAAACCCUGACCGAGCAAUGCCGCGUGAACGAUGAAGGUCUUCGGAUUGUAAAGUUCUGUGAUUGGGGAAGAAUGGUAUUCUUAGGGAAUGAGGAGUACAUGACGGUACCCGAUUAGAAAGCCCCGGCUAACUAUGUGCCAGCAGCCGCGGUAAA